rnacentral:rRNA from 1 species
GCCCGCCGCGCGCGCGGGCGGGGCGGGGGCACGGGGGGCCUACGGGAGGCAGCAGUGAGGAAUAUUGGUCAAUGGGCGAGAGCCUGAACCAGCCAAGUAGCGUGCAGGACGACUGCCCUAUGGGUUGUAAACUGCUUUUAUGCGGGGAUAAACUUCAGCACGUGUGCUGUUUUGCAGGUACCGCAUGAAUAAGGACCGGCUAAUUCCGUGCCAGCAGCCGCGGUAAUAAU